GAUAAGGAAACCCCGAGUGCCAGCACAGGCUGGCUGUCCACCAGUGUAAAUAACUGGUGAAGAAAGGGCCGGGCAAGAUCGGUGCCAGCCGCCGCGGUAAUACCGGCGGCUCGAGUGGUGGCCACUAUUACUGGGCUUAAAAGGUCCGUAGCUUGAUAUGCAAGUCUCUUGAGAAAUCCGCCAGCUUAACUGGUGGGCGUUCAGGGGAAACUGCAUUUCUAGGGACCGGGAGAGGUGAGAGGUACUGCCGGGGUAGGAGUGAAAUCCUGUAAUCCUUGGGGGACCACCUGUGGCGAAGGCGCCUCACCAGAACGGCUCCGACAGUGAGGGACGAAAGCUGGGGGAGCAAACCGGAUUAGAUACCCGGGUAGUCCCAGCCGUAAACGAUGCACGUUAGGUGUAUCGAUGACCACGAGUCAUCGAGGUGCCGAAGGGAAACCGUGAAACGUGCCGCCUGGGAAGUACGGCC
rnacentral:rRNA from 1 species